rnacentral:rRNA from 1 species
AGCAGCCGCGGUAAUUCCAGCUCCAAGAGCAUAUAUUAAAGUUGUUGCAGUUAAAAAGCUCGUAGUUGGAUUUCUGGUUUAAUGCACCUGGCCCGCGGCCAUUAGGCUGUGAGUGCCGGCGCGCGUUUACCAUCCUUCUAGAAAACGAUUCUGCCAUUCACUUGGUUGGGAUCGCGAUCUAGAUCUUUUACUUUGAAAAAAU